ACUGGAAGCUGCUGGGACCGUCUGGGACCAGACGUGGGCAAAAGAAAUAUGUUUUGUCCACCAUUGCAGUCUUCCCAGAGCAAAGUGGAGGUCUCUGUCUGCUUUAGGUGAGCCAACUAAACCGGAUCGUUCCCCUCCAUACAUG
ensembl:scaRNA